GUAUUCCAUGGUGUAUAUGUGACACAUUUUCUUUAUCCAGUCUAUCAUUGAUGGGCAUUUGGGUUGGUUCCAAGUCUACAAAGAUGUUUUCAAAUACAAGUAUUGAUGAUUUUAAAUAAUUGUACACAAAGCUGUGAUGUUCAUGUGUACUCCAUUUGGUAGAAGGCAGAAAUGCUCACUGAUCUUUUGUUAUGUACCCCCAGACAGGUAUGAGAUCCCACCAGGAAGCAAGAGAAACUGCUUUUGUUCCCUGCUUCUACCCCCCACUGUCCCCAAGGAGCCAUCUGAUGUGGACUCAUUAAAAGGGAGAAUAUUUAUUAGGCUACAGUGCCAAGGCUGCCAUCUGUUAGGAUUGCUCUCAGCUUUUCCACAUGGAGAAUGGUAAACUAAAGAGCUGAGAUAAGGGUGUGAACCUAUGGGAUAGAAGCCCAGGAGGCUGUUUAACCUGUUUCUGUUCUUGGCUUAGGCAGUGGUGUGCCGGUAAAUAUUUAACAACCAGCUCUUUGGAGAAGAAAUGCAUGUGGAUAUAUAACCAAUUAUAAGUCUGUUAUAAAUUUUACUGAUUUACAAGUAGUAAAAUAUACAACUUAAAAGAAUUAUAGAGCAUACAAUACUCCUUAUUGUAUGUUAUCACAGAAUGCUUAACCUGAUCUUAUAGAACGCUUUUAUUUGCAGCCAAACUGUGGUUGCAGUUGAUGAAUAAGUAGGUUACUGACCUGAAUGUUGGUUGAUAUUUUCCUUUACACAAAAGAAUAAGAUAAAAGUUAAAACAACAGUGACAUAGAAGUUCACUUGUUUGUCAAUGAAGAGAGUACUUUCUCUACUGAAUAAGAAAAUUUUCAAAUACUAGAAGAAUAUUUUCUCAAAUUCACAGUGUACCAACUAUAAACAUGACAUUUUAAAUUUAAUCUGCAUUAUUUACAUUUUCUCUAUUAUUUUCUUAAGUCUAGAGACAAUCCACAAUAAAUCAAUCCCUGAUUUGUAGUAUUUGUUGAUUUCUGUGGUAUAAAUGCUCUGAUUUAAAGCUUCCAAUGUAAUGUUACUGAGUGUAGAAUUAGGAAGAGAUGCAUAGCUUUACAUUAUUUUACUAUUUCCACCAUUAAAGAUACAAUAGAGGUAAAAACCUCAAGAACAUAGAUAAUAGUAAAUGACUAGGAAGUGGUGAACUUUGGCUAUUAUCUUUGCUUUCGGUGUAAUUUAUUGAAUCCUAAGCUUAUAUAAUUUAACUUUUAGUAAUAACUGUGUUUAAUAAUCAGCUUGCAAAAUUCUUAAAAAGUUUAACAAUCAGCUCUCAGGAGCUGGUACAAGCCAGCUUCAGCACACCACUGGCCUUAGGCAUUCCACUGGCAGUAGUGCUGGGGGUUGGGGAGACAUAUGCCAAUAUGCCAUGCUUUUUAAAAUAUGAAACCCAGGACCCCACUUCUGGAGAUGAGUCUAAGAUGAGACAUCAGGGUUUGAGGUCGGAGCCCCAUUAACAACCUCGCUUUGCCAGGUCUUGUUCUCUGCUCAUCUCCUUCAGAACCUCAUGGGAUAGAGGGUGGAAUGGGGGUUUGAGGUGGGAAAGAGUUCAUGUGCUCUAGAUCCUGGGGCUCAGCCACUUUUUUCACUACUGCUAACUUGGGGUACUGGCCCAGCCCCCUUGACAUCCUGCGGAUAUCUUGCUAUCCUACGGAAGUGGAAAUCAACCCAAUUUCUCAGUUCCUAACCAGAAAUUAGACUCCUAGAGACCACUGAGAAAGCAGAACUGAAUGUGAAAGGCUGUGGGGUAGUUAGUUGGAACCAUGAGAUAUUUUGCUGGGGCUGGCUGCUGACUCAUGGGGGAACUUUUCUGUCCCUGUAGCCCACAUGCUCAAAUGUUGUUUAGUAAAGAUUAAGGGCAAAGCGUGAUGGCCUCUUGUGUUGGUGUAAAGCUUACUCAACAAAUGAAAAAGAAUGGUGACCUCCAUCAUUUUUUGAAAUUAGUCCAUGAAAACCUCAACUUAGAAUACAUGAAAUAAGGAAUGAUGUUAAUUUUUAAAAGGGCUUUUGCUUUACAAAAAGAUUCUCAGUUACUUAGAAAAUACCCCUCAGGUAAUUUUAAAUGGUGCUUGCAAAAUCCUCAUUUACAUAUAUAUUUGCAGAAAUACACCCAUUACAUUAAACCUAUAUUCAUUGAACAGUACGCAGAGUCCAUUGCAUUAUAACUGUAAAAUAGGAAAUGUGAUCCUAAUUGAGGGGACCUGAGGAGGUUGCAUACUAGCGUAAGGUUAUGUUCAGGACAGUAAACACAACUUUUUUCUUCUCUUUUGCUAGGCUGAGAGUCAACUGUGGGCAUCGUGACUGAGCAAGUAAUUUUGAAACUAUUUGGUAGUCUCUGUAACACCUCCUAGCCAAUGAAGACACUAAUGAAAAUUGAGGCAUCUUAGCUUGAGUGAAAGUGUUAAAGCUUUUCUUUCAGGUGCCGGAAAAAACCAUCAUAAAACAUACAUGUGAGGGAAAAGACAGUGGGUUGUCAUGGAGCAGGAAAGCCAUGAAAUCAGAUGAAGCAAAAGUACCAUGCACUCAGAAAAUUAUGUUAUUAUUAGCCCAGAAUUCCUUGUGGAAAAAUUAAAUGGCUAAUGUCCACAGAAAAAAAUAAAAAUAAUUGUUCAGGGAUUAUUAGGAAUCCAGUUGUUUUCCCGAGCAGUUUCCAAAUCCUGCAGAUACAAACAAUAAUAGGAGAAGAUUAGGGCAUUACUUGAGCUGGUUUUUCUUUCUUUCUUUCUUUCUUUUUUUUUUUUUUUUUUUAAGAGUAAAGACAUUUCCACUUGAAAGCUUCCGUAAGCUCUGUAAAUGCAUGAUUUCAAAGACAGAAUGUCUAACUUGAUUUCACAGACUCUUCUUGGCCAUGGCAAACAGGUUAGAAACAGGCAUGUGAUUUGUUUUAUUAAUUUGCCGCUGCCUCAUAUCUGUGCUUAGACAAUUUACACCUUUGUACUUUAGUGUCUCCAACUUGGAAAUGUAUAAUACUCUGUGCAGUAACGUAUUCGUGUAAUACAGGGAACCAGUAAAUCUUUUGACCUCUUGUACCAUGUCUCCCACUUCUUCCCCUACUCCCUGUAUUUGAUAUGUCAUAUGUGGGGUCUGCUGACUUGUGUCUCUGCCUCUGCUCUUACUAUUGUCCCAUCUCCAGCUGCCAUUUACACUUCCCUGUACCAUCUGGAUCCCUCAUUUUAUGACCCUGUGCAAAGAGAUCCUGUUCCAGGAAGGCUUCCAGGAUGAUUAGUACCCUUUCACCUUCUGCAGACCAGAAUAUGGAACAAGCACAGCAAUCUUGGAGAGCUUGGAGAAGGUCAUGGCUGAUGUUGGCAACAGAAGAUGAGGCCUGGUAUGAAAAUGAACAGCCUGUGAAAGCGUAACAGGAUGUGAGUAAAUUAAAGAAUUGGGUUUUUUCCCUUUGGUUUUUUAGGUAGAGGGGAGCCCACCUACAAUAAAAUGUUAAAUAAAAAGUACCCACAUGAAUGAAGGCAGGGGCAAGUCCAAAGCCAAGAUACCAUUUCACUCUAAGUAAAUCCACUGAGGGAAUCCCCUCCCUUAAAAAGAAAAAAGAAAAAAAAAAUGAAAGAAAACUGGUUGGGCACGGUGGCUCAUGCCUGUAAUCCCAGCAC